AUAUAAUAUUAAAUAAAUAUCUAAAUUUUAAGUAUAUCAUUUACAAUGAUAAGAUGUUUUUAACUUUAUUUAAAUU
rnacentral:tRNA from 1 species